CUGCACAACUUCAUACGAGGAUGACAAGACUUGACCCCAGCUCUUAUAUAGGCGCCGUGAGAUGAUAACGCCGCGUAAAUGUGUAGUUAAUCCAAAAAGUAGGAGACAGUACAGUUCAAUGUACAAAGGCAACAACGUAUGAAGCAGGUUACUCUGAAUGUGACUUCUCCUCCUCCUCCCUAUAAAUUUAGCAGACUUUCACUCUUUCUUUGCAACAAAAUUUCUUCUUUUUCACAUUCCAAUCUUCAAUUCUGUAAUUGUCUGAAAUUUUUCUAAAAUACAAUGGCGAAAAUUGAGAAACUGAGAUUCAUAACAGAAGUUGCCCCCCCGAAGUUCAUCUCAAUAACACGGCGUCCUGUCAUCAAAAUGUUGGAUACAAUCGAUGAGGAAAAGGCUUAUGCAUCAACCCUUUCGUCAUCUUUCGGCAAAGCUCUCGACCGGGAUAGAUACCCGCCAAGUCUCUCCUUUCGAGUGAGAAAUUUUUGAAAAAGAUUAUGAAUAAAGCACAGAUCAAAUUCUCUUUGAGAUGUGCUACUUAGCAUAACCAUAUAGGAUAAAUAAAUAAAGAGCACGAUAAAUAAAUAAAGAGCACGAGGAUUAGCAUGAUCUCUUUUCUAUUUCUUUGCAAUUUUGUAUAAUUUUCUGGAGAAAAAUUGUCACACAUUCUCUUCACCACCAUCUUUUAUAAGGGGUGAAUGAGCAUUUCUGUUGAUUAUUCUUACUAGUUUUGUUGCAAUUAUGCAAGCAGUGAAAUUUCCAGUAAUUUCCACUAAGUACCCGUGGCAAUUGCCGAAGGAGUCAGCAAGUGAACCAACAACAUGAUAAAUCUGGAAAGAAGGGUGACAUUGGACUAAUUUCUUGAGCAACUCAAUAUAUAAAUAUCUAUGUUUUGUUUCUUGUUUCAUUUAGAUAAAAAAUCAGAUUUUUAGUAUAUUUUAAUAAAAGUUAAUAAAAUAAAUGAUUGAAA
rnacentral:lncRNA from 1 species